rnacentral:rRNA from 1 species
GUUAAAGAAGAACACGUAUGAGAGUAACUGUUCAUACGUUGACGGUAUUUACCAGAAAGUCACGGCUAACUACGUGCCAGCAGCCGCGGUAAUACGUAGGUGGCAAGCGUUAUCCGGAUUUAUUGGGCGUAAAGAGAGUGCAGGCGGUUUUCUAAGUCUGAUGUGAAAGCCUUCGGCUUAACCGGAGAAGUGCAUCGGAAACUGGAUAACUUGAGUGCAGAAGAGGGUAGUGGAACUCCAUGUGUAGCGGUGGAAUGCGUAGAUAUAUGGAAGAACACCAGUGGCGAAGGCGGCUACCUGGUCUGCAACUGACGCUGAGACUCGAAAGCAUGGGUAGCGAACAGGAUUAGAUACCCUGGUAG